UGCCUGCAAAUGGCGUCUGGGGGGCCAGGAGGCCCGAAGAGGGGGGCAGAGAACCGGCACCGGUCACUCCGGAACCGGCCUGGGCAUCCCGGAAGCGGCACCCAGGGAAGGCCCGCCCGAAGGAGGAAGAGAUGUAGAAAAUGAGUCUGAAAGAAAAGGCCCUUACUGACAGCGCCAUAGCCGGGAUGCAGCAGGGCAGAGAUUCAAACCGAAGCCUGUCUCCAGGGCAAGCCCACGUUUUUUCACUGGCAUCGGGCAGCCUGCCUAAUGGGGGCGCCACCUCCUGCCUUGUCCCAGCCGCAAGCCUGGAUCCUUCAGCUCAACCGUCCAGCGGUAACUGAAGCACCGGGGAUCAGGGACUCUGGGCCCCAGCUGUCCCAGCCCCCAGGAACCUCCACUUCUA